UGCCUGGCAUUUCUUCCUACCUCUAAAGA
rnacentral:piRNA from 1 species